UACAGAGGUCUCAAGCGUUGUUCGGAUUCAUUGGGCGUAAAGGGUGCGUAGGCGGCUGCGCAAGUCGGUUGUGAAACCCCGGGGCUCAACCCCGGAACUGCAUCCGAUACUGCGUGGCUAGAGGUAGGUAGGGGAGAUCGGAAUUCCUGGUGUAGCGGUGAAAUGCGCAGAUAUCAGGAGGAACACCGGUGGCGAAGGCGGAUCUCUGGGCCUUACCUGACGCUCAGGCACGAAAGCUAGGGGAGCGAACAGG
rnacentral:rRNA from 1 species